rnacentral:rRNA from 1 species
AGUGAACGCUGGCGGUAGGCCUAACACAUGCAAGUCGAACGGCAGCACAGUAAGAGCUUGCUCUUACGGGAGGCGAGUGGCGGACGGGGGAGGAAUACAGCGGAAUAUACGUUUUAGUGGGGGAUAACGUAGGGAAACUUACGCUAAAACCGCAUACGACCUACGGGUGAAAGCAGGGGAGCUUCGGACCUUGCGCGAUUGAAUGAGCCGAUGUCGGAUUAGCUAGUUGGCGGGGUAAAGGCCCACCAAGGCGACGAUCCGUAGCUGGUCUGAGAGGAUGGGCAGCCACACUGGAACUGGGACACGGUCCAGACUCCUACGGGAGGCAGCAGUGCGGAAUAUUGGACAAUGGGCGCAAGCCUGAUCCAGCCAUACCGCGUGGGUGAAGAAGGCCUUCGGGUUGUAAAGCCCUUUUGUUGGGAAAGAAAAGCAGCAGGUUAAUACCCCGCUGUUCUGACGGUACCCAAAGAAUAAGCACCGGCUAACUUCGUG